CACCAUUCCAGACAGAGAGGAUUUGAGUCCUUGAGAUGCAGACCUGCCGUUAGCACUUUUCAACCUCAGUCUGAAUUGUGGAAACCACAACCUUUGCUCUCAGGAUUCCAAGGAAACCUGCUACAAAUUUUUGAGUGUUCACUUCAUAUUUUGCCUCUUUCCUGAGUGUUUAUUGAUUCUAAGAGGUUUGGAGUCCUUAGGACAGUGGUUCUAACUUCUUGGAGUUGACCCUUUCACAAGAGCUGCCCAGGACCAUCCUGCAUAUCAGAUAUUUACAUUAUGAUUCAUAGCAAUAGCAAGCUUCCAGUUCUGAAGGGGCAAUGAAGAUAAUUUUAUGGUUGGGGGUCACUACAACUGUGGAAUUGAUUUAAAGGUUCGUGGCAUUAGGAAGGCUGAGAACCACCACAGUAGGAUCUUAUGAAUAGAAUCAUAUCAAUCAAAUGCAAACAGCGGCACGUCAAGUUCCUUUCCUAUCAAUGUCCAUCUUCUGGCUCGUCUUGUCUUACUGCUCUGGCUGAGACUUCAAGCACUGCACUGAAGAGACAUGGAGAUCGUGAACACCUUUGUCUUCUUUCUGCUCUGAACUAGGAAUGCUCUAAAUUUUUCUGCACUUACUACAAUGUUGACUACAGAUUUCUUGUAUAUAGUAUUUAUUAUUUUGAGGUAAGCUCUUGCUAUUCCUACCCUCUCCAUGAUUUUUACCAUGAGGGACGUUGGAUUUUGUGAAAGUCUUUAUCUUCAUCUAAAGAGAAGAUGGUGUGGUCUCUGUCUUUGAAUCUACUUAUGUCAGGGAUACCAUUUCUUGAUUUACAAAAGUUGAACUAUCCCUGCAUCUCUGGAAUAAACCAACCCAGUCAUGAUGAAUGAUCUUUUUCAGUAUGAUUUUGAAUUUAGUUUACCGAUAUUUUAUUAAGAAGUUUUGCAUCUAUGUUCACCAAGGAGAUUGGUAUAUAAUUUCCACUUUGUUUCUGUUGUGUCCUAAUUUGAGGUUUGUUCCACAUCGGGGAAUUUAUAUCUGGUACUGUGAACAUGGUUAAAACCCAUGGUUUUAGAAAUCAUAGGCUGAAGGGGCGAACGUACUGAUUUUUUUUUCUAAAAGGUCAAGUUAUCAAACAGACUUCUAAACAUAUCUGUUUAUAUCUAUGGGUGUGUGCUUUUCUCACACACAGAAGAGCUUCUUAACGCAGUGGGUAUUGGUGAAUCCAGAGAUUCAUUAUUGUUUCAAGCACCGAGAAUGAACGACUUUGAAUGCUCAGCCUUAGAUGGAAUAUCUACACAUCACACACACAAACAUCAGGGAAGGUUUCAGAAGAAGGAGCAGGAAGAAGGUAAGAACCAGAGGCCGGGGAAUGGGCUGUGAAAUGCUGUCUGUUGGAUGGGACCCGGCUUCGGUGUAC
rnacentral:lncRNA from 1 species